rnacentral:rRNA from 1 species
UACGGGGGGGGCAAGCGUUGUUCGGAAUUACUGGGCGUAAAGGGCUCGUAGGUGGCCAACUAAGUCAUACGUGAAAUCCCUCGGCUUAACCGGGGAACUGCGCCUGAUACUGGUUGGCUUGAGUUUGGGAGAGGGACGCGGAAUUCCAGGUGUAGCGGUGAAAUGCGUAGAUAUCUGGAGGAACACCGGUGGCGAAGGCGGCAUCCUGGACCGGCAUUGACGCUGAGGAGCGAAAGCCAGGGGAGCAAACGGG